AACGCUAGCUACAGGCUUAACACAUGCAAGUCGAGGGGCAGCAUGAACUUAGCUUGCUAAGUUUGAUGGCGACCGGCGCACGGGUGAGUAACACGUAUCCAACCUGCCGAUGACUCGGGGAUAGCCUUUCGAAAGAAAGAUUAAUACCCGAUGGCAUAGUUCUUCCGCAUGGUAGAACUAUUAAAGAAUUUCGGUCAUCGAUGGGGAUGCGUUCCAUUAGGUUGUUGGCGGGGUAACGGCCCACCAAGCCUUCGAUGGAUAGGGGUUCUGAGAGGAAGGUCCCCCACAUUGGAACUGAGACACGGUCCAAACUCCUACGGGAGGCAGCAGUGAGGAAUAUUGGUCAAUGGACGAGAGUCUGAACCAGCCAAGUAGCGUGAAGGAUGACCGCCCUAUGGGUUGUAAACUUCUUUUAUACGGGAAUAAAGUGAGGCACGUGUGCCUUUUUGUAUGUACCGUAUGAAUAAGGAUCGGCUAACUCCGUGCCAGCAGCCGCGGUAAUACGGAGGAUCCGAGCGUUAUCCGGAUUUAUUGGGUUUAAAGGGAGCGUAGGCGGACGCUUAAGUCAGUUGUGAAAGUUUGCGGCUCAACCGUAAAAUUGCAGUUGAUACUGGGUGUCUUGAGUACAGUAGAGGCAGGCGGAAUUCGUGGUGUAGCGGUGAAAUGCUUAGAUAUCACGAAGAACUCCGAUUG
rnacentral:rRNA from 1 species